AUGUUGUUAUGGAAAUACUGCCUACAACGAGUUAGGCAAAAUGAGUUAAUCUUAUCUAACACAUUAGGCAUAGGACUCACCAGCACAAAGCAGAAUAACUUUGUUUUCUGCUGGGGACGACGACUUGGAGGAGAGCAUCAGGCUGAGGCGCCCCGGAGCUCAGGAGGCCUGAGGCUGUCGCAGCAGCAGGCAGAGGGCCAGCAGAGGCGAUCCACGUCCCCGUCUCCAGCCACGCUCGAGGGGACGAAGGCCUGGUGUCGAAGGGCUGUCACCAGGCGUCCUGCCAGGUUACGGCCUGCUGAUCCCCUGAGACCACUCACCUUGGGAGCAGGGUCACUGCGCAGAUUUCUCAGCUUCAACAGGAGAAAGGCUGGCCUCAAACACUCACCUUGCAGGCAGGGAAACGGGCUCUGGCUGCAAGAAAUCCCGGAGAGCAGGAAGCGCGUCCCUUCUGCCCAUCAGGGUGGGCAGCCCUGACACUGACCAGGGUGUAAAACAGCUUUUGGGCAUCGCUCCCUGGUCCUGCUGCCUGGAUCCAUGGGGAAAAGGGACUGCUGGGGCAGCUGGAGAGGAAUGAGAGACUGCAACUCAGUUAAGGUGCCAGUUCCUCGGUGUGCUAGCCUGAAAACCUAUUUAUGUGAACAUACGUCAUUGCACAAGCAUUUCUUUCUGUAUCAGAAUAAGAAUUGCAUUUUUAGAUUAAAGGUAAGGCAAAAAGUGUUUCCUGGGCUCUGAUUUGAGCUUCUGGGCUCCUCCCUCAGCAUCUGCUGAUAGUGGUAAGCCCUGAAAUACAGAAUGAGCUACUUUUCUUUAGCUGUCGCAUUACCAGUGCAACAACUAGGUCUGUGAUGGCUGCACAGCACACAGAAAACACGUCAUUUUAAAAGGUUUCUUUACGAAGCCAAAGCUUCACUUUAUAUUGGAGCAAACCUGGCAUAGCAUCGCUGCCUGCCUGUCGCUGCUUGCCUGCCCAUAGCUAUGAGCAGGCUUUGCUCCAUGCCCUGGAAUGAUUCGGGUUUCAAAUUAAUUUGUGCCUUUGUGAAAAAAACAACAGCUCACAAAUAUUCCAGGCCAAACUUGAGAUGAUUGCCUGAUGAGAUAAUAAGCUGCUAGUGCUCUAACCUGACGGUAUCACUACAUUAUUAUGUUCCUGAACAAUACUGCAUUGUGGAAACAAAGCACGCUAGCUGUAUCCUUAUGUUAUCCAUCAGCCAGCAGUGCAGGAAUAAAGUUAUUUAACUCUCAUUUUCA
rnacentral:lncRNA from 1 species